CUCAUCAGCUCCCAGAGGAAAAUCAGAAGAUGGGUAAGAAAAAUCAUUAAGUAUGUAAACAUGAAAAAUAUUUUAAAUGAAUAAAGAAUAAAAAUAAGACAAAAUUAAAAUGGAACCAUUUUGAGGCCAAGCCUUCUCUAUAUUUUCUAGUCAGGUCUGGAAUCUCACACUGAUAAUAAAUCUCAAAUACUCAGUACUAGAAAUAACAUCCAUUAUUCAGAUUUCUCUGUUUCUAAGGCAUUCAGGAAUCUGUCUUGGUAAAAAUUCUCCUGCUCUCCCAGUAUGGUUUUGGAUGACCUAAUGGGGGCAGCACCAUCAUGAGUAACAAUAUCUCCUGCAGGAGCCCCAGCUAUGUGUAGGUGAAGAACACCUAAACUACAGAAGGUGGGGCAUCAUGUUCUGAUUGGCUGGGCAACUUACUUCCCAGAGCAGAACAAGAACCAUACUGAGAAAGCUUCUUUAGACCACAGUCCAGAUCCAUGUCACAAGUCCAAGGAGUGGGUUAUUGCUGAUUCUGGGAAGCAGAAGAUGGAAAAGUCCCUGGGUGCCUCGUUCCUGAUCUUCUGCCUGCACCUUGGAUGGGUGAGCUGUCAACAGAAGGUGGAGCAGAGUCCUCCCACCCAGACUGUCCAGGAGGGAGAAAACACUACUUUCAGCUGCCAUUACUCAGACAGUACUUCCACAAGGCUUCAGUGGUUCAGGCAGGAUCCUGGGAAAGGGCUCAUCCUCCUAUUUAACAUCGUCUCAGAGGGAAAGCAGAAAGGAAGAUUAAGAUCCACAAUCAACAGGAAAGAACUUCUCAGUUCCCUAUACAUCACUGACUCCCAGCCUGAAGACUCAGGCACCUACCUCUGUGCUGUGGAGCCACAGUGAUCCCCAGACACCUGCAGGCUGUGCACAAACCCUGUAGCUGGGGCUCCAAGCCACACUCCCUGCCAAAGGGCCAUAUGAUGACCAUUCAUGACUAUUCUCACAGGCUUCUCUUGCCUGGUUUUCACCAAAGUCACUUUUAUUC